GCCGAGGUGGCGGAACUGGUAUACGCGCUGUGUUCAGAACGCAGUGAGGGAAACCUCGUAGGAGUUCAAAUCUCCUCCUCGGCACAA
rnacentral:tRNA from 2 species